UACGCUGGCGGAGGCCUACACAUGCAAGUCGAGCGGAUGAGUGGAGCUUGCUCCAUGAUUCAGCGGCGGACGGGUGAGUAAUGCCUAGGAAUCUGCCCGGUAGUGGGGGAUAACGUCCGGAAACGGGCGCUAAUACCGCAUACGUCCUACGGGAGAAAGCAGGGGACCUUCGGGCCUUGCGCUAUCGGAUGAGCCUAGGUCGGAUUAGCUAGUUGGUGAGGUAAUGGCUCACCAAGGCGACGAUCCGUAACUGGUCUGAGAGGAUGAUCAGUCACACUGGAACUGAGACACGGUCCAGACUCCUACGGGAGGCAGCAGUGGGGAAUAUUGGACAAUGGGCGAAAGCCUGAUCCAGCCAUGCCGCGUGUGUGAAGAAGGUCUUCGGAUUGUAAAGCACUUUAAGUUGGGAGGAAGGGUUGUAGAUUAAUACUCUGCAAUUUUGACGUUACCGACAGAAUAAGCACCGGCUAACUUCG
rnacentral:rRNA from 1 species